rnacentral:rRNA from 1 species
GAUGAACGCUGGCGGCGUGCCUAAUACAUGCAAGUCGAGCGAACAGACGAGGAGCUUGCUCCUCUGACGUUAGCGGCGGACGGGUGAGUAACACGUGGAUAACCUACCUAUAAGACUGGGAUAACUUCGGGAAACCGGAGCUAAUACCGGAUAAUAUAUUGAACCGCAUGGUUCAAUAGUGAAAGACGGUUUUGCUGUCACUUAUAGACGGAUCCGCGCCGCAUUAGCUAGUUGGUAAGGUACCGGCUUACCAAGGCAACGAUGCGUAGCCGACCUGAGAGGGUGAUCGGCCACACUGGACCUGAGACACGGUCCAGACUCCUACGGGAGGCAGCAGUAGGGAAUCUUCCGCAAUGGGCGAAAGCCUGACGGAGCAACGCCGCGUGAGUGAUGAAGGUCUUCGGAUCGUAAAACUCUGUUAUUAGGGAAGAACAAAUGUGUAAGUAACUAUGCACGUCUUGACGGUACCUAAUCAGAAAGCCACGGCUAACUACGUG